rnacentral:rRNA from 1 species
GGGAGCAAUCCUGAGUAAAGCGGCGUACGGGUGAGUAACACGUAGGUAUCCACCUCUUAGUGGGGAAUAACUCGGGGAAACCUGGGCUAAUACCGCAUAAGUCCGAGAGGAGAAAGCAGCAAUGCGCUGAGAGAGGAGCCUGCGGCCGAUUAGCUAGAUGGCGGGGUAAUGGCCCACCAUGGCGACGAUCGGUAGCCGGCCUGAGAGGGCACACGGCCACACUGGCACUGAAACACGGGCCAGACUCCUACGGGAGGCAGCAGUGGGGAAUCUUGCACAAUGGAGGAAACUCUGAUGCAGCGACGCCGCGUGGACGACGAAGCCCUUCGGGGUGUAAAGUCCUUUCGACCGGAACGAUAAUGACGGUACCGGUGGAAGAAGCUGCGGCUAACUACGUGCCAGCAGCCGCGGUAAUACGUAGGCAGCAAGCGUUGUUCGGAAUUACUGGGCGUAAAGAGUUCGUAGGCGGUGCGGCAAGUUCGGUGUGAAAUCUCCCGGCUCAACUGGGAGGGUGCGCUAAAUACUGCCGUGCUCGAGUAUAGGAGAGGUAAGCGGAAUUCCUGGUGUAGCGGUGAAAUGCGUAGAUAUCAGGAGGAACACCUGUGGUGUAGACGGCUUACUGGACUAUAACUGACGCUGAGGAACGAAAGCGUGGGUAGCAAACAGGAUUAGAUACCCUGGUAGUCCACGCCCUAAACGAUGCAUACUUGGUGUGAGCCAUUCACUUGGUUCGUGCCGUAGCUAACGCGUUAAGUAUGCCGCCUGGGGAGUACGGUCGCAAG